GAGUUUGAUCCUGGCUCAGGAUGAACGCUGGCGGCGUGCCUAAUACAUGCAAGUCGAACGAGGUGCUUUUGUAGCAAUACGAGAGUAUCCUAGUGGCGAACGGGUGAGUAACGCGUUGGUGACCUACCCCAAAGUGUGGGAUAACAGUCCGAAAGGACUGCUAAUACCGCAUGUGGUCAUUGGCUUUAGAAACCGGUGACUAAAGGAGCAAUUCGCUUUGGGAGGGACCUGCGUCCCAUCAGCUAGUUGGUGAGGUAAUGGCUCACCAAGGCGACGACGGGUAGGGGACCUGAGAGGGUGGCCCCCCACAAUGGAACUGAAACACGGUCCAUACACCUACGGGUGGCAGCAGUAGGGAAUAUUGCUCAAUGGGCGAAAGCCUGAAGCAGCAACGCCGCGUGCGUGAUGAAGGUCUUCGGAUCGUAAAGCGCUUUUCUGGGAGAUGAGAAAGGACAGUAUCCCAGGAAUAAGUCUCGGCUAACUACGUGCCAGCAGCCGCGGUAAAACGUAGGAGGCAAGCGUUAUCCGGAUUCACUGGGCGUAAAGCGCGUGCAGGUGGCGCGGUAAGUUGGGCGUGAAAUCUCCCGGCUCAACUGGGAGAGGUCGUUCAAUACUACCGUACUCGAGAGCAGAAGAGGAAGAUGGAAUUCCCGGUGUAGUGGUGAAAUGCGUAGAUAUCGGGAGGAACACCAGUGGCGAAGGCGAUCUUCUGGUCUGUUUCUGACACUCAGACGCGACAGCUAGGGUAGUAAACGGGAUUAGAGACCCCGGUAAUCCUAGCCGUAAACGAUGUGAACUUGGCGUUGGUGGGUUAAACUCCAUCAGUGCCGCAGCAAACGCGAUAAGUUCACCGCCUGGGGACUACGGCCGCAAGGUUAAAACUCAAAGGAAUUGACGG
rnacentral:rRNA from 1 species